GUCGAACGGCAGCGCGGGAGCAAUCCUGGCGGCGAGUGGCGAACGGGUGAGUAAUACAUCGGAACGUGUCCUGUAGUGGGGGAUAGCCCGGCGAAAGCCGGAUUAAUACCGCAUACGCUCUACGGAGGAAAGGGGGGGAUCUUAGGACCUCCCGCUACAGGGGCGGCCGAUGGCAGAUUAGCUAGUUGGUGGGGUAAAGGCCUACCAAGGCGACGAUCUGUAGCUGGUCUGAGAGGACGACCAGCCACACUGGGACUGAGACACGGCCCAGACUCCUACGGGAGGCAGCAGUGGGGAAUUUUGGACAAUGGGCGAAAGCCUGAUCCAGCAAUGCCGCGUGUGUGAAGAAGGCCUUCGGGUUGUAAAGCACUUUUGUCCGGAAAGAAAACCUCUGGGUUAAUACCCCGGGGGGAUGACGGUACCGGAAGAAUAAGCACCGGCUAACUACGUGCCAGCAGCCGCGGUAAUACGUAGGGUGCAAGCGUUAAUCGGAAUUACUGGGCGUAAAGCGUGCGCAGGCGGUCCGCUAAGACAGAUGUGAAAUCCCCGGGCUUAACCCGGGAACUGCAUUCGUGACUGGCGGGCUAGAGUAUGGCAGAGGGGGGUAGAAUUCCACGUGUAGCAGUGAAAUGCGUAGAGAUGUGGAGGAAUACCGAUGGCGAAGGCAGCCCCCUGGGCCAAUACUGACGCUCAUGCACGA
rnacentral:rRNA from 1 species